GUCUAUGACCAUGCCACCCUGAACAACCCCGAUGUCUAAUCUCAGAAGCUAAGCGGGGUCGGGCCCAGUUAGUACUGGAUGGGAGACCACCUAGGAAGACCAGGUGCUGUAGGCA
rnacentral:rRNA from 1 species